UUUCUUUUUGGAGAGUUUGAUCCUGGCUCAGGACGAACGCUGGCGGCGUGCCUAAUACAUGCAAGUCGAGCGGACCGA
rnacentral:rRNA from 1 species